rnacentral:lncRNA from 1 species
AGCGAGACUCCGUCUCAGAAAACAAACAAACAAACAAACAAAAAAAAAAAGUUCGCUGCAAAGAUUUUGUUUGAUACAUAUUAUUUAGUUAAAGAAAUUUUCUUCUACUCCUAGUUGGCCUAACAUGACAAGUACAUGUUGAAUAAAAAUUGAAUUAUUGUUUUGCAUUUGUUAAGCUGGUGAUUUUACCCUUCACUUCAUUAAUAUGGCAAAUUAUAGCCACAUUAACAUACUACCCCUUGCAUUCCUGGGAUGAAUUUACUUGCUUAGAAAGUAUUACCUUUAUUUAUAACACAGAAUUGGGUUUUACUUAAUUAUAUUUCAUUUGGAAUUUUUGCAUUCAUCUUCAUAAUUUUAUUUUUUCUUACAUUGUCUUUUUGUUUGGUUGAUUUUGAGAGACAGGGUCUUGCUCUGUUGCCCAGGCUGGAGUGCAGUGGCAUGAUCAUCAUAGCUCACUGCAGCCUUGGACUCCUGGGCUCACUUGUAAGGUCUCAGCUUCCCAAGUAGCUGGGACUACAGGUAUGUGCCACCAUGCCCGGCUAAUUUUUAAAUUUCAUGUAGAGAUGGUGUCUUGCAAUGUUGCCCAGGCUGGUCUCAAACUCCUGGUCUCAGACAACUCUCCCACCUCGGCCUCCCAAAGUACUAGAAGAACAGAUGUGAGCCACCUGGCCCAGCUGAUUCUUUUCUUACAUAAUCUUUGUCAGGUUUGGGUACCAAGGUUAAAUUUGAUUCAUAACUUUAUUGAGUUGCUUUCUCUUGUUAUAUUCUUUUAAAUAGCUUUUAUAAAUAUGUUUGUAUGCUUACAAAAUCACCUAGAUCUGGUAUCUGUUUGGGGUAAUUUUUUUUUUAAUUGCAAUGCAAUUUCUGUAACUGUUAUUCAUCAACCCAAGUAUUUCAUUUCUUCUUGACCAAUUCUAACAAUAAAUCCUAUUUAUCUGUUUUCAAAUAUAUUGGCAGAAAGGUGUUCAUAAUGGUUCUCUCAUAUUUAAAAUUUUUUAUUUGAUAUGGAGUUUCUUA